rnacentral:rRNA from 1 species
UACGGGGGGGGCAAGCGUUGUUCGGAAUUACUGGGCGUAAAGAGUUCGUAGGCGGCGCAGAAAGUGGGGUGUGAAAGCCCUCGGCUCAACCGAGGAAUUGCGCUCCAAACUACUGUGCUAGAGGAAGCUAGAGGUGAGCAGAACAGAUGGUGGAGCGGUGAAAUGCGUUGAUAUCAUCUGGAAUACCGGAGGCGAAGGCGGCUCACUGGGGCUUGUCUGACGCUGAGGAACGAAAGCCGGGGUAGCGAACGGG